CAAUUAUCACAUCAGUAGAAUGCAGUUAUUAUAACGAUGCCUGUAGUGUUGAUGAUAAUAGUGAAUGUGAUACGAAUACCGCUAAAUGUGUUUGCAAAACUGGAUUUUCAGUUACUGGAAUUAAUUGUGAACCAAUUAUCACAUCGGUAGAUUGCAGUUAUGAUAACAAUGCCUGUAGUGUUGAUGGUAAUAGUGAAUGUGAUACGAAUACCGCUAAAUGUGUUUGCAAAACUGGAUUUUCAGUUACUGGAAUUAAAUGUGAACCAAUUAUCACAUCGGUAGACUGCAGUUAUGAUUACAAUGCCUGUAGUGUUGAUGGUAAUAGUGAAUGUGAUACGAAUACCGCUAAAUGUGUUUGCAAAACUGGAUUUUCAGUUACUGGAAUUAAUU